rnacentral:rRNA from 1 species
UACGUAGGGGGCGAGCGUUGUCCGGAAUUAUUGGGCGUAAAGCGCGCGCAGGCGGCAAUGUAAGUUGGGUGUUUAAACCUAGGGCUCAACCUUGGGUCGCAUCCAAAACUGCAUAGCUUGAGUACAGAAGAGGAAAGUGGAAUUCCACGUGUAGCGGUGAAAUGCGUAGAGAUGUGGAGGAACACCAGUGGCGAAGGCGACUUUCUGGGCUGUAACUGACGCUGAGGCGCGAAAGCGUGGGGAGCAAACAGG